GGGGAAACCCACCUGAUUGUUCGUUGUUGUCCUACCGCUUCGCUACUUGAGGACUUGUCCGACAGUAGCAAGCGCGGGAUCAUCAAUGGGCAAAGACAGGUAUCUUAACCCUGAAUACAUAGGGGUUUUGAA
rnacentral:rRNA from 1 species